rnacentral:rRNA from 1 species
UACGUAGGGGGCGAGCGUUGUCCGGAGUUACUGGGCGUAAAUGGCAUGCAGGCGGUCGGACGCGUUUUGUGUGACAGCGGGUGGCUCAACUACCCGAGCAUGCGAAAGACGGUCGGACUUGAGGACUCGAGAGGGACACGGAAUUCCGGGUGGAGUGGUGAAAUGCGUAGAGAUCCGGAGGAACACCGAAGGCGAAGGCAGUGUCCUGGCGAGUGACUGACGCUGAGGUGCGAAAGCCAGGGGAGCGAACGGG